UAGGAUCGAGUUACGGGUCUUGAUUGCUGAGUUCUAUGGCAUUGGGGCUGUUGUUGCUCCGUUUUCUCGAUCAUUCGUAAGCCCAGAUUGAGCUAAGGCUGUGUUUAGAGGUUGUGGCUGCUGCUAGGACGGUCAGUAUUGAUGUUGCUGCCGUGGGAUAAGAAUAGAAAUGCAAUUUGUCGCGUAGUUGAAUCGCGAACGAGGUUGAAAACUCGAUACUCUGUUGACCAUACGACGUCUCCCGGGAAUGUUACCCGCAUUGAGCAAUAUUGAUUAUUUGAGAAAAAGCUAUGCAUAGACUCUUGGGGAUGCACGUCAGGGGACAGUUUAAGGACAAUUCAGACUUGUCGGGUUGGCUGGAUAACCGACAGAUGAGCCUCAUCAGCCACAGGACAGGCAUGCAUCAUAUGCAUUUGUAUGCUUUGCUUGGUUUUGAACUUGUUUUGGUUUGCCUAAUUGCUAAACUAUUCUUAACUGCUACUUGAACUAUUUGCUGUAACUGCUACCUACUUGUGCUUUCCUUGUCUGUCUUGCUUGUGUUUAUCCUGACGUGCUACAUUUGAGAAUGAACUUUGGUGCUGAAUUAAUGAUUGUGUUGUUUGAUUGCGUGGUUGGUUUCUGAUUGAGAUUUUCUUAUAAGAAAGGAAAGGUUUCGGAUUUCUGAAAGAUUAAACAUUAUUUCCUUAAAAAGGUUUUGAACGAUUACCUAUUAGUUUUUAAAAGAUUCAUAAGGCAGUGAUAGUCACUG